rnacentral:rRNA from 1 species
GCGAGAAAGGGCUUCGGCCCCGGUAAAGCGGCGCACGGGUGAGUAACACGUAGGUAAUUUGCCCUUGGGUGGUGGAUAACCUUCCGAAAGGAGGGCUAAUACAGCAUAAGACCACGGCUCCGAAAGGGGUUGAGGUCAAAGCCGGCCUCUCUACAGAAGCUGGUGCCUGAGGAUGAGCCUGCGGCCCAUCAGGUAGUUGGUAGGGUAAUGGCCUACCAAGCCGAAGACGGGUAGCUGGUCUGAGAGGAUGAUCAGCCACACUGGAACUGAGACACGGUCCAGACUCCUACGGGAGGCAGCAGUGGGGAAUCUUGCGCAAUGGGCGAAAGCCUGACGCAGCGACGCCGCGUGAGUGAUGAAGGCCUUCGGGUUGUAAAGCUCUGUGGAGGGGGACGAAUAAGGGUUGGCUAAUAUCCAGCCCGAUGACGGUACCCCUUUAGCAAGCACCGGCUAACUCUGUGCCAGCAGCCGCGGUAAGACAGAGGGUGCAAACGUUG